rnacentral:rRNA from 1 species
GAUGAACGCUAGCGGCAGGCCUAACACAUGCAAGUCGAGGGAGAGGUUACCUUCGGGUAACCAAGACCGGCGCACGGGUGCGUAACGCGUAUACAAUCUGCCUUUCACAUAGGGAUAGCCCGAAGAAAUUUGGAUUAAUACCUAAUGGUAUAUAGGAGCGGCAUCGUUUUUAUAUUAAAGCUACGGUGGUGAAAGAUGAGUAUGCGUUCUAUUAGCUAGUUGGAGAGGUAACGGCUCCCCAAGGCGACGAUAGAUAGGGGUUCUGAGAGGGAUGUCCCCCUCACUGGUACUGAGAUACGGACCAGACUCCUACGGGAGGCAGCAGUGAGGAAUAUUGGACAAUGGUCGGAAGACUGAUCCAGCCAUGCCGCGUGCAGGAUGAAGGUCCUAUGGAUUGUAAACUGCUUUUGUAAGGGAAGAAUAAGGAGUACGUGUACUUUGAUGACGGUACCUUACGAAUAAGCAUCGGCUAACUCCGUGCCAGCAGCCGCGGUAAUACGGAGGAUGCGAGCGUUAUCCGGAAUCAUUGGGUUUAAAGGGUCCGUAGGCGGGCUGAUAAGUCAGAGGUGAAAGCGCUUAGCUCAACUAAGCAACUGCCUUUGAAACUGUCAGUCUUGAAUGAUUGUGAAGUAGUUGGAAUGUGUAGUGUAGCGGUGAAAUGCUUAGAUAUUACACAGAACACCGAUAGCGAAGGCAUAUUACUAACAAUUUAUUGACGCUGAUGGACGAAAGCGUGGGGAGCGAACAGG